AAGCACCUACGUUUAAAUGACUGUUUUGCUAGAUUCUAAAUGAUAAAAAAUAGAGCCUUGAAACCCAUAGAAGUCCAGUAUAUUCUGAGGUAAUUUGCAUAUUAAUGGACAGCAGCAAGAGACACAUCUGAUGGACUAAAAAGACCCAAUGAAAAUUAAGUGACACAACAUUCAGAACAACUGGAAGAAACAACUGGAUUUGCUGCUGGAUUGGUUAUUGAGGAUAAUGGAAAGGAAGGAAUAAAAGAUGGCUCUCAAGCUUCUGGCUUGAACAACUUUUGGACCCAGGGAAAGAUGGACAGAUUUGGGUGGUAGGCUCCACGCUUAACAUGGAAACCAACACGGGGCUCAAACUCACCACCCUGAGAUCAAGACCUGAGCUGAGAUCAAGAGUUGGAUGUUCAACCAACUGAGCCACCCAGGCCCCCCCCACCCCAAAUGUUUCUUUCUUAAAUAUUAAAACAGCAAACAGAAAACUAGUAAGUAAAACUAAACGACUGUGUAGCUGUUGUUAGAUUCUAUUUUCUUUCUAAAUAUUGUCUCAGAGACAACAGUGUUCCCAAAUAGAACAUAGACAUCACUAGUGUGCUUAGAGCAGUAGAACAAUAAGCUACUUGAAGAACUAAGGUUAUCUCUUGCCUUUGGACAAUAAUGGUGGCCAUAUUUCCUGUCUCUUUCUGAAGCUCUUAUAAUAAAUGUUAAAUUGCCAUGUAGU
rnacentral:lncRNA from 1 species